AGACUGUACAAAAUCCUGAGGUGAAUGGCAAGAUGGCUGAAUAAGAACAGCUCCAGUCUGCAGCUCCCAGUGAGAUCAAUGCAGAAGGCCUUCAGUACAUCUUUAUUAAUCUGACUGCCUGGUUGCAGUUACAUUUGAGAAUAAGACUGAGAUCAAAUUCCACGUUUAGAGUGAGAAAUGACUGCAGUUGAAGACUUGGUUGCAAGAGUCUAAGAAGACACCUCAGGGAGAGAGACAGGAUCCAAAACAAGAUUGCUGGCUGAGGAAUGGGACAAGUCACCAGCUCAGAAGUCUCAGGACCAGCGACAUCAAGAGCAGGAAGUGGCCAGUGCCUCAACUUCACUCCCCUCUCCCUCCUGGAACAGGCCCUCCAUCACCGUAGAUAAUUCAUGUCACUGAAUGGAACAUAGGUGAGAAGUGGGAGAAAGAACGAAAAUCUGGAGGUUGGAGGAUAAACAAACCCACAUCCUUGUGGAUGAAGAAGGAUACCAAAAACUCAUUUUCCUGGAAGGAGCAAUUUUUGAAAUCAGCUACACUGAGGGCACUUUCGUGGCUGCCAGACUAAAGAUUAAUGGAGCACAACUCCAAAGGGUGCCAACAGGAAGCAACUAUACCCCCAAACAUGUCAUCACCCCCUGCCUAUUUCAACCUGUCCUGGAGCUAGUUUAAUGUGCCAGCUCCCAUGGUUUUUCCAGUCAUUCUGCGGUAGAAGGAGACCGCAGUAGGCUGCAGAUUGAGUGAAGGUCUUUUCCAUGUGAAUUUGUCCUGCAUCUGGGAUAAAGGUAUAAUGAUUACCUAAAGCAUGUUCUGUUCAUGGAAGAUCACUGGAACACAAAAGACCAAGCUCACAGCAUAUUCAAGACAUCUGCUCGUAUUCCACUGGCCAAAGAAAGUGAUGUGGCCCAGCCUAAAGUCAGCUCAUGCCUCUUGGAACACAUGGGGCAGCUGUGUGCACCUCAGAUGGAGCAGCCAAAAAGAGCUCAGAGCUUUGGUCCUGACUUUGCAGCCCAAGUGAGAUCAUGGGUUUUGUACUCCAGGCACUGUGCUAGGCACCAGGACUAUAAUACAACUUGUGAUCUGUAGAGGAGUCAGACAAUUAUCCAGGCAUCCCAAAGAAAUGUCAAUUGCAAGCCUGGAUCCCUUUUUCCCUGGAGGCUGUUCUGAAGAUGGCACCCUACCUGCUCACCUUUUAGUGUACCUGGGCACCCAUGCCUCCAUAUGGUGACCCUCAAAUCAUACUGUAUGAAGAGCAGCUGUUUUGUCAACUAUUUUUUAAUGAGAUUUUUUUUGCUUUGGUUUAAAAAAUAGCAUAUAUUUGCGUUAGAAAAUUAGAAAUACAGAAGAAACAGAAAUAUAAAAGAAUUACCUAUAACAUGCAAAAAUGACUAGUACAAAUGUUUUUGUUUUUUUACAGUAUGUGAACAUAUUGUAUGUUUAUAUUAAUAUCCAUAGUAUUUAUUUUUGCCUACAUGUUUUACUUAACAUAUGUAGUAAGCAUUUCCCAUGUUAGUCAAAUUAUUUGUGGACAUUAUUUUUAAUGACUAUUAAUGUUAUUACUCUACAGCUUGCCGAAUAAGUCUCCUAUUAUAUGUCAUUUUGGGUCCUAGCAACAUUUUUGUGUUUAAAUCCUUGUAGCAGUUUUGACUGAUUUCCUUAAGAUAGAGUCCAAGAAGAGAAAUAAUUUGCUUGUUUGUUUAUCAUUUGGUACUUUCUUUUAUGGUAAUGUCCUUGGGGCUGAUAAUUCAGAACCAUGAAUAGAUAUGAUUCUUGUCUUUGAGGAGAUUGUAGCCUUGUGCUAGGUUAAAGAAUAGGCACGUUUUAAAGUUCUCGAUACACAUUUUCAAAGUGCUUUUCAAAAAUUUGUAUCAAUUCAUCCUUCUACUAUAAGGGAAAAUCUGUUCUGGGUUGUUUUUCUGGUAUAUCUUCCUAUUAAGAACCUGUUCUCCCUCCUGCUUUGUGACUCACAUGGAGUUGCCACUGCAUGCUAUCAUCUCCAUCCCUUAGAGCAACCUAUUAGAGAACUUACUCUCUGGAGUCCCAAAAGAGAAACAACAGCAACAACUCAGCAAUUCAUCUGGGGUCAGCGUGUUACCCAGUCUGGGCCAUUGGAGAUUUUUUUAAAGGGAAGUUUCUCCUAUUUUCUUCAAAAUUCUGAGCUGUGAAGAGGACCACUAGAAAGUUCAAUCUAUUUAUGAUUUUUUAAAAAACUGUUAUUAUAUAUAUUUAAGUGUAUGUCAUGUUUCCACACAUAUAUACAUAGUGAAAUGAUCACUGUAAUCAAGCUAAUUAGAAUAUCCCCCAUCUCGCAUAGUCACCUUUGUGUGUGAAAAGGGUUCAGUGCUUCCCUCUCCACUCUUCAUCUCCCCUUUAAAAAAGCAGAGAUGAAUGGAGAGGGAAAGGUUGAACAAUGGUUAUGUGGUGGGACUGCUGGGAUUCACCUGAGAGUUAAAACCAGCUAGUUCUACCCGUAUGUUUUUCACUUAGAUAAGCCAACAAAUUAAUUUCUUUUCCUCUAUUCUUCUUGUCUUCUUUCCUGCCUCUUUACCUGUCUCCCUUCCUUCCUCUCUUCCCACUCUCUUUCUUUCCUUAUUUAAAUUGGUUUGAAUUGAGUUUCUGACACUAAUGGAGAGUCCUUAUUGUGCCUUCACGUUAUUUUUAUCAAACCAGAAAAUGUUAAUGACAUAAAACAAUUACUGUUUGGACAAGGAAAAUUGUAUUUCUUUCCUUGAAAUUUCUACACACAUACACAUUUGUGCUUGUUAGUGAGGCUAAGCAUUUUCCCCCUUAUUUGUGAAUUAUAUAUUCAAUGUUUUGAUCCAUUUAUCAAAUAAAUUCCUUAGUUUAAAAAAUAUUUGCAGGUGCGGUUAUUAUGGAAAGCAGCAUGAAGUUUCCUCUAAAUAUUAAAAAUAGAAUCACCACAUGACUCAGCAAUCCCUCCUCUCUAUAUAUUUUUAAAGGAAAUGAAAUCAGCACUUCAUGGAACUAUCUCCACUCCCGGCUGGGCGCAGUGGCUCACGCCUGUAAUCCCAGCACUUUGGAAGGCCAAGGC